rnacentral:rRNA from 1 species
CCUACGGGGGGCUGCAGUGGGGAAUAUUGGAUAAUGGGGGCAACCCUGAUCCAGCCAUGCCGCGUGUGUGAAGAAGGCCCUCGGGUUGUAAAGCACUUUCAGUGAGGAAGAACGCCUGGUGGUUAAUACCCAUCAGGAAAGACAUCACUCACAGAAGAAGCACCGGCUAACUCCGUGCCAGCAGCCGCGGUAAUACGGAGGGUGCGAGCGUUAAUCGGAAUUACUGGGCGUAAAGCGCGCGUAGGUGGCUUGAUAAGCCGGUUGUGAAAGCCCCGGGCUCAACCUGGGAACGGCAUCCGGAACUGUCAAGCUAGAGUGCAGGAGAGGAAGGUAGAAUUCCCGGUGUAGCGGUGAAAUGCGUAGAGAUCGGGAGGAAUACCAGUGGCGAAGGCGGCCUUCUGGACUGACACUGACACUGAGGUGCGAAAGCGUGGGUAGCAAACAGGAUUAGAUACCCCUGUAGUC